UCCCCAAAUCAAACAACUCCACAACCCUAACCCAUGCCUAUCGCCACCCACCUCGCGCUCAAUCCACGGCCCAGCUGCCAUCGCCGCCGGCCUCGUGCUCGAACCACAGUCCGGCCGCCAUGGCCGCUGGCCUCGCGCUCGACCCCGUCAUCAAGCCGUCGUCCCGGAGGUCGGACGCCCCUCCCCCAAGCUCCACCCCGACAUCCACCCAUCCUCGCACUCCGCCCCCUCUCCUCGAGAUCCCUCCCGAGAUCGAGCCGCCGUCCUCGCACUCCACAAUCCAACAACCGUCCUUGUGUCCCCCUGACAUCCAGCCUCGUCCUCGCAAAUCUCCGUCCCUGCUACCGCUGAGGCUCCAUCGUCGUGCUCCCGCUGCUUUCAGAUUUGCUGCUAUCGGGGCUCCGUCGCCGGCCUCCCGCUGCUGCUGGACAUGCCGAUACCAUGGACCCAUCUCCAGGCUCAUUACGCUGCUGCCGGACCUGCUGCCGAGACUCCAUCUCCUUCGAGUUGCGUCCCUACCGAAGCCAGCCGUCCCCGUGCCUUGAGAUACUUGACAAAUUUGAUAUUAAGGGUGCAUCAUGGACAAAACGUGGUUGUCUAAGCCUAGAUGAGUCGACAAUGAAGCUCGGGGCGUGAUAUGGCGCUCGGUGUAGGUGGCCAUGGUGGACCUGAAGCUAGCUGAGAUAAGCGACGGGAUCAAUGUUGUGCUCCUCCCGUUCUCAUUAACCAAAUAGUGCAGAGUGUGGCAGCAUGACUGGUGUAUAUAUCCACUUGGACCACCAAAAUCAAACUAAUAGCAAGAACUAAAUAUAGUGUUGAGUUAUAGUUUGUAAACAGAUCCAUAUUAGUUCAGAGAUCCGCACAACAAAUUUGUACAUUUAGAAUGACCAGCAAAAUCCAGUAGUACAAUUAACUAUAUCGAAAGAGUUUAUUUGAUCAAUAUGUGCACAUGAAACAACAAAUUAACCCGUGUGAACUAUCCAUGGAAUUAUGCAAUGCACAGACAAAUAUUCGGACAACAUGAUGUUUCAUUCCGAGGCUAUAGUCACAUCACUGAAACCAAACCAUUAUAUAUGAUUCCCCAUAGACAGAUUGCACCAAAGACUCUGGUUACUUGCCUACAGCUAAUUAUUUUUCUUAAUUCCAGGGAGGUAUCAGAUUAUGGAGCUCGGGGAUCUGUCUUGCCUGUUGUCUGAACUGAAACAACAGCCUCACUCUCUUCUUGGUCUUGAAUAACAGUGAGCUGCUUCUCAAAUGUCCCAUCGCAUAACGGCUGUAGCACCCUGAGCUCCUCAUUAUCUGCUCCAUGAUCAAGAUCCAUAGACACCGAGAGCCGCACACUUGGCUACAAGGUUUGCCUGGAUGACUCUGAAUCGAAACCAAUCGUAGAUUGGGAGCUGUAUGCAUAUUCCAUUUGUGCAGAUCCAGCCAAAGCACUUAAUUCAUAGUCCGCAAAAUAGGCACUCUAUGUAACACAAGGAAAAUCUAGCUUAGAAAUCUACACGGAAUCUGCACUGCGCUUGGCUAAAUCAACUUACCUGUCCACCCUAUCUUUACAUAAUCUGACAUGAUUGUUAAUUAUCAAUCUUCCAUGAAAAAAAUCCAACUUACAAUUUCAGUUUAGCUGACAUGCACUAGAGGCAUUAAACCAACAAAGUUGACACCUCGGGUCUGAGUUAUGCUGAACUUUUUGAUCUUUUUAUUAACCACAUCGGUGGUCUCAAAAAAAUUCAUGAGUAGCAACACAGACUAAGAAAUUGCUAUUUAUCUUAUCUAUGCUAUAAGAAACCGGAGACCGAAUUCUUCGACAUGGAGGGAUUCCUUGAGAGCACAUCAACACCUGAAGCUGCUGCUGUCGCAGCUCUACACUUUUUCUUCUUUCCGGACACCCGACAGCCCAAGCAUACAAGAGCAGCAACACGAGCAGGCCUUGCUGUGCAACAUCAGCAGAGCGCUCUCAGUGCAGCGGAACUACUCGGGCGUCUCCGACGACAACAUACUUGAUACUGAAGUUGAAGAGUGUAGCACGGUUGAUGAGCUGAAGCGGCAUGAAAACAGUAACUUCUAUUAAAAAUAAGGAUAUUUCCAUGUUUAACCUUAUUAUCGAUGUUUAUUAAAAUUGGAUAUGAAAAAGGUGCACAAUGACAGAUGACGUAGGUUGUGCCCCUUUUUAUCGCCCGGUGCAAUGCAUGGGCAUUCUUACUAGUAAUAAUUACAUGUAGGCCUAUUUUUGAAUGCCUAUUUUUCAAUUGUUUUGGGAAUUAGACUAAGGAGUAAUGAUUGUUAUUGGCUUGUUGCAGAUCGAA